AUGUCGUUGAGUUAAGAGCUAGUCGAACAUCUGACUUUCAAUCAGGUGGUCGCAGGUUCGAUUCCUGCACGGCCCACCA
rnacentral:tRNA from 1 species